AUGGCAUCAUCUUCGCAGGCGCCCUGGUCGUCCGUGUCCGGCGAGCAGGAAGAGCGGGAGCUGAAGGAGGGCCACCUCAGGCCAGCGGCCAUGGCUGUGGAGGGCCCGGGCUGCUGUGCCCAGCGGGGACACGGAGCGGCGUCCACGGACGAGCCCGGCCCGGGAGAGAGCCGCAGAGCGCGGCCGGACUCCGCGGGGCUCGGCUCUGGCCAGGCAGGCGCGGCUCGCCGACGCCUCCCACGCCUCCCGCGACGGUGGCCCGGCAGCCGCGCGCGCUCCUCUCCUCGCGGGCGCGCGCCGCCGCCCAGACGCUCCCAGGCCGUUGCCCCGCCCCCUCCGGCGGUGGACUGCGGACAGGGACAGGGACAGGGACACCCUCCUGGGAGAACUCCUGGGGCCCCGCCCACACGCUUCGGACCUUCGCGGAGCGGGAAGGUGCGCUGACAGGGACGCAGGGUCCCCGCCAAGCUCGCUCUCGGGGGAACUGCAGCCUCCUCCCUCGGGUUUUACUCGAACGUCAGACCCGAAACCACGCAACGUCUACAAGCAAACUACCUUGAGCGUCUCUGUUCUUUGGAAAAAGCCCCACAGGCUACACUUCCGUGUCCUUGGAGUCGGGCAGUUCAGUCAUGCCCUACAUCAGGACGUUUCAGUCAACAACGGGGCUCCCAUAAGAUCAGUCCCAUGCGGCCUAGGUGUGUAGGAGGCUCUCCCAUCUAGGAUUAGGAACUCCGUGGUGUUUGCACAGUCUCGAGAUUGCCUGACUGUGACACACUCCUCAGAUCUGAUCCCCACUGUUAAGCAAAGCAUGACGGGACUGCCUUAGAUUCUCCACGGUUCCAGACCCUGCACUGUUUACAUGACUGCACACGCAGAGGGCACCGUGUCUGAGGCAGAGAGCAGCUGGAAUCACACAAGCUCUCGACAGAGAGUCAGGGAAAGGCGUGCUCUGCUUACACGACUCUCUACUUUUCUCUGUGUCUGAACCAUUUCAUAGCUAAUCUGCUCUUUUUAACCGAACAGCUUUGCAGAAAAGAAAAAAAAAAAAAAAAGGUUACCAACAAAUACUAAACAAACCAAUAUAAACAAUACAUAUUAAAUAAGCCUAACCCUACUAUGCUACUGAAAAGGCGUUUAUUUCCCUGGGAUAAUUUUGACAGCAUUAGAUUGUUUUCCCAAGAGCAGCCAAGUCGAGGGAGAUUAUUUCGAAUUCCACGGUGCUACAGAUGCGGUCAGUAGCAACUGCAAGCUGGAAAGGAAACAAAGUUGGGUGUAAUCCAUUCAAGUUCACACGUUUCACCAGGGACAGCCUCCGAGCCUUUAAUACUUAUGUAUGCAUUUAUCCAUUUAUUUAAUCAACCACUACUAACGCCUACUACAGGCCAGACGCUGCUCUAAGUACUUUACGGCUAUGAAAUAUCCUCUCACCUUUACACUCACCUAUGGAGUGUGUAUGAUAAUCAUCCCCGUUUGACAGAU
rnacentral:lncRNA from 1 species